rnacentral:rRNA from 1 species
GACGAACGCUGGCGGCGUGCUUAACACGUGCAAGUCGAACGGUAAGGCCCUUCGGGGUACACGAGUGGCGAACGGGUGAGUAACACGUGGGUGAUCUGCCCUGCACUUCGGGAUAAGCCUGGGAAACUGGGUCUAAUACCGGAUAGGACUCCUGGCUUCAUGGUUGGGGGUGGAAAGCUUUUGUGGUGUGGGAUGGGACCGCGGCCUAUCAGCUUGUUGGUGGGGUAAUGGCCUACCAAGGCGACGACGGGUAGCCGGCCUGAGAGGGUGACCGGUCACACUGGGACUGAGAUACGGCCCAGACUCCUACGGGAGGCAGCAGUGGGGAAUAUUGCACAAUGGGCGCAAGCCUGAUGCAGCGACGCCGCGUGAGGGAUGACGGCCUUCGGGUUGUAAACCUCUUUCAGCUAUGACGAAGCGCAAGUGACGGUAGUAGCAGAAGAAGGACCGGCCAACUACGUGCCAGCCGCCGCCGUAAAAC